rnacentral:rRNA from 1 species
AUGGACCUCACGGAGAAGGAUAAGGAGGAGCCGUCGAGGAAAAGGAGGGAGACAAGGAAGGUGCUGGAUCCUGUCAGGAUUGCGGGGAAGAAGAGGAGGAACAAUGAUGACAGGAUUCUUGAGGAGGAUUACAAGAAUGUCUUAAUCGACAAUCCAACCACAGCCACAGUUUCUGAUCCUGUUAUUGAAUCAAGUGCCGAAAAUGAAGUCGAGCAAUCUGGUGCUCAACUGCCAGUCCUUGAGGAUAUCUCGAGGCUGUUUGAUGGUUCGGUGAGUUCUUCAUUGGGCGCCAUGAGACCCCUUGUUGAGAAGCUUGGCAUACUGCUAGCUCCUUCUCAGGAACACUACAAGAGGUUGCCCAAGAGGAUCAAGGAGGGGGUGCACCUUCUCAAGGAUGAUGUUGAAGUGAUAAGCUCCUACCUUGAUGAACUGUCAGAGUUGGAGGACCCUCCCCCGGUGGCCAUAUGCUGGAUGAAUGAGGCACGCGAUUUGUCUUACGAUAUGGUAGAUUACAUUGACAGCUUAUUAUUUGUGCCGCCUGACCGUUUCAUCAAAAAGAAGAAGAAGAAGAAGAAGAAGAAGAAGAAGAAGAAGAAGAAGAGGCAGAAGAUGAUGAUGAUAAAGAAGAGGCUUAAGUGGUACAAACAAAUUGCAUUCAUAGCGCAGGUGUCAGAACAUGGUACCAAGACCAGUAAAAUCAUUCAUGUUAAUGUCCCUCGUCUUCCCAGUAAGCCCAAGAUUGCAGAAACAAUAUCGGAAUUCAGGAUCUAUGUCCAGGAGGCUUUUGAACGGCACGACAGGUAUAAGCUCCAGUGUUGCAGCACCUUGAGGAGGCAUAGAUUCUUGUCCGCUGGCAGUAUGCUUCCAAUGCCCUAUGAUGAAGUUGCACAAAUUGUAAUCGAUGGGCGUAUGAAUGAGUUUAUCUGCUCACUGGCCGCUAAUGAUACGGCAGGUCAGCAGCAGCUCAAGGUGGUAUCUGUUCUUGGAUCUGGGUGUCUUGGUAAAACUACACUUGCCAAUGUGUUGUAUGAAAGAAUUGAGAUGCAAUUCGAAUGCAGAGCUUUCAUCCGAGUGUCCAGAAAGCCUGAUAUGAAGAGACUUUUCAGUGACUUGUUCUCGCAACUCCACAAGAAGCAGCCACUACCUGCCAGCUGUAAUGAGCUUGGCAUCAGCGACAAUACCAGCAAACAUAUGCAACAUAAAAGGUAUCUAAUUGUUAUUGAUGAUUUGUGGGAUGCAUCAGUGUGGGAUAUUAUUAAAUAUGCUUUUCCAAAUGGAAACUGUGGCAGCAGAAUAAUAAUAACUACACAGAUCGAAGAUGUUGCAUUAACAUGUUGCUGUGAUCGUCCAGAGCAUGUUUUCGAGAUGAAACCUCUCGAUGAUGCUCACUCGAGAAUGCUAUUCUUUAACAGGCUUUUUGAGGGCUCCAUAAUCUGGAAGGAUGAUCUUUCGAUGCAAUGGGUAGCUGAAGCCUCCAUCGUUACACAAAAAGGGAAAGGGCAAUAUCAAGACCGGUUGAAGAAAGCUGCAGGAAUCUGUUUUGAUGAACUUAUUGAUAGAAGAUUCAUCCAACCUUCAUAUAUCAACUACAACAAUGAGGUAUUGUCCUGUACGGUCCAUGAUGUAGUACGUGAACUUAUUGCACACAAGUCUGCAGAAGAGAAUUUCAUUGUGGUAGUAGACUACAAUCGAAAGAAUAUAGCACUUUCCCAUAAGGUUCGCCGACUAUCUCUCAUCUUUGGUGAUGCAAAAUAUGCGAAGACACCAGAAAACAUCACAAAGUCACAGGUUCGAUCACUCAGAUUUUUUGGAUUAUUCGACUGUAUGCCUUGUAUUAGAGAUUUCAAGGUUCUUCGUGUCCUAAACCUUCAACUAUCUGGUCAUUGUGGCCUCCAUGACCCCAUAGACCUCACUGGGAUUUCAGAGCUGUUUCAGCUAAGAUAUUUGAAGAUUGCAAGUGAUGUUUGCAUAAAACUACCAAACCAUAUACGAGGGCUGCAAUGUUUGGAAACGCUGGAUGUUAUGGAUGCAACAAGAGUCACUGCUAUUCCAUGGGAUAUUAUACAUCUCCCACACUUGUUCCACCUGGCUCUUCCGGUUGACACAAAUCUGCUAGGCACCAUGACUGAUUCCGUCGUCAGUCUGUGGAGCCUUUGCAAGCUGAACUACCUGCAAGAUCUUUAUCUUACCAUUUCUUCUACACCUUGUUCUGGCCAUCCGGAGAAAAACAUGGAUUCUGUAGGCUCUUUACUAGAAGGACAUGGCAGCCUGAAAAAUAUAGUCGUGUCUCAUGGCCCAUCGGUUAAAGAUAUUGUGGUUCCCGGUGCCUCAAAAGUAAUCAUUUCCUGGGAUGACUUGGAGCCUCCCCCUCUUCUCCAGAGAUUUGAAUGCUCGCCAUGUUGGAAUAACCACGACGUGCGUGGCACUGUGUCCGGCUCGUACACAGAAACAGUCACCGGGUAG